UCUCAUACAGCACUUCAAUUUGAAAAAUAAUUAAAAAAAACAUUUGAAUUUUUAAAUCAAUUACGAAAAAUGUAUUGUGGAGAUAAGCGGAUUAAAAUUGAAUAAUAGCCUACCAAACCCUUUGCUUGUCGCCAUGUCAUCGAGGUUGAAAUAGAUUUUCAUUUAAACCCGGAUAUUUAGGAGACCUCCAUUGCCACAAUGGAAAACGUAAAAUUCAAUAUUGAUUGAAAUGGCGAAUACUUUCAAUUUUGGUUUUACGGCUGAUAAUUACAAAUUACCGCUAAGAAGAUGAGCUGGCUGCACCCAAAUCUCUGCAAACGAAAAAUAAUUUGUUGCUGGUGUUGUUUGUUUGGGCCAUAAGUGUACAUUCCAACUAGCCGCUCAAAUUCGAAAAAAUUCUUUUGUUGCCUGCGCGAUCAUUUAUGAUAAAUUAGUUUUUAAACAAAGAGAAGCAUUGGCCGAGCCGGCAUGCAAGUGAGUUUCUGUGAAAUAUUAUCAUCAUUCAUUCUCGAGAUACGAAUCAUGAUGACAUGGGAAAUGAUAACACAGAAAAGUUAUAUAUCUAAAAUGAACGGAUUCUGAGGAAACUUAUUUCUAAAAUGUCCAAAAGUGUUGAAGAUAGGGGAACGUGCCAAAUUCCGAAGUUCAAAACACCGAUACACAUGUCGCUGAAUUUUAGCUGAACUUGCAAAAUCUGCUUCAAAAAAUCUAAUUUGGUUGGAAAAUUCAAAAUAACUUUAAAUCCAGACGAAUCGUUUCUCAUUUCAAAUCGACCUACCAACCCAUUAUGGGCCAUGUCCCAUCUUAUAAUGGUAGGUAAAAAAAAAUUGCAAAAACUAUCUUCAUAUACAUACAUACAUAUACUCACAUGCAAUUACAUCAAUGCCAACAAAUGUGACAUUUCAUUUACCAAAUACGGCUGUAAUAAAAUUUUAAUAAUCA